CGGGGCAUGGUGUAGCGGCAACAUGCAUCCUUGGGGUGGAUGUGAUGGUGGGUUCGACUCCCGCUGCCCCGA
rfam:Candidatus Wildermuthbacteria bacterium RIFCSPHIGHO2_02_FTLL_48_16 rifcsphigho2_02_scaffold_9065, whole genome shotgun sequence.